rnacentral:rRNA from 1 species
GACGAACGCUGGCGGCGUGCUUAACACAUGCAAGUCGAACGAUGAAGCCCUUUCGGGGGUGGAUUAGUGGCGAACGGGUGAGUAACACGUGGGUAACCUGCCCUGUACCCUGGGAUAAGCCUUGGAAACGAGGUCUAAUACCGGAUAUGACCUGCUCUCGCAAUGGGGGGUGGGUGGAAAGUUUUGGCGGUGCAGGAUGGACCCGCGGCCUAUCAGCUUGUUGGUGGGGUGAUGGCCUACCAAGGCGACGACGGGUAGCCGGCCUGAGAGGGCGACCGGCCACACUGGGACUGAGACACGGCCCAGACUCCUACGGGAGGCAGCAGUGGGGAAUCUUGCGCAAUGGGCGAAAGCCUGACGCAGCGACGCCGCGUGAGGGAUGACGGCCUUC